UUCAGAAAAAUGCCAGCAGAGGCUGUAGUCAUUUGGGAAGGAACAAGACUGGAAGAAAAACACACAGCAGACUAGCAUAAAGAGGGCUGGCCCUGUGACUUGCCUUCACCACAGAAAGCAAAAGAAAGGACAUCAUAUGACCUCAGAAUGACAUCAUAUGACCUCAGAAUGCCAGUCAUCAAGCCUUUCUGCUUUUGCUUUUGCUCUUGCUGCCAUGAGGACACCAUAUAAUGAAGCCUGGACCAGCCUCCAUGAGGAUGAGAGACUACUCCCAGCCAACAGAGGGAGCCAGCCUCCAGCCAGCUCCUGCCAAGGAUCUCAUGGCCGACUCUGCUCCAGGUGCAGAGAAUGCUGCCAGGCCAGGCCACGCUGUCCUCGGGGAAUAACUAUCCCAGGCCCUCAGGAAGCUACACUAUGGCUGAGGCAGAACGGGAGGAGGAAGAGCAUGACCUACUGCACAGCUCCACGUCAACUUUUUCAUUAGUGCCUCAAAGCAACACUACUUGAGCCCAGAUUCUCACAACAUCGUUACAUUAAUAUGACAUUUUGUUGUUUGCAAAGUGUUUCCCCAAGAUCAUCCUCUCUUAUUUCUCUUCACCCACACCAGUAAGUGUCCUUACAGAUGAAUUAUCUAUCAGUUAUGAUUAAGCUGGAUACAUAUAUAAGAAAACUCAACCAACAGUAGCCCAAUCAAGAUAGGAUCCUGUUUUUAUCUCAUGUGAAAAGGAAUCCUAGGAGUGCAGGGCUGCUGCCAUAGCUCCUUGAAAUCAGAGACCCACACUCCUUCUCUCUCUGCUUCGUCACCUUUAGUAGCUGGUUUCCAUCCUCAUGGCGACCUCAUGGUAACCUCGCAGUUGCAGGAAUCCCAGCUGUCAUCACACUCUUACCCUGGAUAGGAGGAGGGAGAAAGGAGAAAGGGUGUAUUUCCCUUUCCACUUUUAUUCAAAGAGAUUUUCCACUGGGCCACCGCCAUCUGCGAGGAAGACUGGGAAAUGAACUUUGUUGUUUGUUUGUUUAUUUUAAUCUGGGCAUAAAUCUAUUCCUGUCAACUUAGGGGUCUAAUGCUAAAAAAGAAGAAACAAGUAGAAGAGAAUGAUUAUUAAGGAGGUAAUAAGGAGGUAAAUAGUAGUCUGACCAAUGACAUUGGGGCUAAUAAGGAUUAAAUGACUAGGCCAGGGUAAUCAACUAAUUAGAUUCUUAUAUGUGCCCUAAGAAAUCUUUAUGACUCUCUACUGCUGCUGCACAACACUUAGGGACAUGUUGAUACCUUAUUCUAUAUAAAUGGAACCCUUCUACACCUUACGUGAUACAGCGUAUGACUUGUGUAGUCAUAUAUGGCAACCUGUCUUUUCCUUCUGCACUUGGUAAAAUUUUGUAUGUGAGACUGCUCAUCUCCACUUCCAGGAACCCUGCCUGUCACACUCCAACAGUUGGAGCCUAAUAUCCAUUGCUGCAUAUAUUACUAGAGGGGUUAGGUCACUGUCCAUUUAUUAGGGGCUCUCUUUCUGCCUAGGCAAUAAGUCCUCUUUAGGUUUCUACAUAUCUGGUUAGGGCCUCUCCUGAUUAGGAGAGGUAGGAAGAGGCCAUAAUCCUUUCCAUCUGGGUGAGUAAAUCAGGUAGUUUGCACUUUAAGCCCAUUUUCUUCAAUUUGUGUGAAAGUAUAUAUU